rnacentral:rRNA from 1 species
GAUCAGUGGCUCGAGGACGAACGCUGGCGGCGUGCUUAACACAUGCAAGUCGAACGAUGAACCGGAGCUUGCUCCGGGGAUUAGUGGCGAACGGGUGAGUAACACGUGGGCAACCUGCCCCAGACACCGGGAUAACCUUCCGAAAGGAUGGCUAAUACCGGAUACGACCACUUCGGACAUCCGACGGUGGUGGAAAGGAUUCUGGUCUGGGAUGGGCCCGCGGCCUAUCAGCUUGUUGGUGGGGUAAUGGCCUACCAAGGCGACGACGGGUAGCCGGCCUGAGAGGGCGACCGGCCACACUGGGACUGAGACACGGCCCAGACUCCUACGGGAGGCAGCAGUGGGGAAUAUUGCGCAAUGGGCGAAAGCCUGACGCAGCGACGCCGCGUGAGGGACGAAGGUCUUCGGAUUGUAAACCUCUUUCAGCAGGGACGAAGCGAAAGUGACUGUACCUGCAGAAGAAGCACCGGCUAACUACGUG